rnacentral:lncRNA from 1 species
GCUUCUCCUGCUCCAAGGCCAAGCUCGGGACCCUGUCAUCAUCCCCGGGGACAGGCCCCAUCUUAGAGAGGAUCCACCCAGCUCCCCGCUCCUGAGCCAUCUUCCAGCUAUCCCGCCUCGAGACUCCCACCGCACCUGCUCCUGGGCUGCAGCUGCACCCAACAAGUCAACAUGUGGAUUGCUUCUAGAAUUUGGAUAUUAUGAACACUGCUGUGCUGAACAUUCUUGUACACUUAUAUGGUUUGGCUGUGUCCCCACCCAAAUCUCAUCUUGAAUUGUAGCUCCCAUAAUUCCUAUGUGUCGUGGGAGGGACCCAAUGGGAG